UGGGGAAUAUUGCACAAUGGGGGGAAACCCUGAUGCAGCGACGCCGCGUGAGCGAUGAAGUAUUUCGGUAUGUAAAGCUCUAUCAGCAGGGAAGAAGAUGACGGUACCUGACUAAGAAGCCCCGGCUAACUACGUGCCAGCAGCCGCGGUAAUACGUAGGGGGCAAGCGUUAUCCGGAUUUACUGGGUGUAAAGGGAGCGUAGACGGCACAGUAAGUCUGAUGUGAAAACCCAGGGCUCAACCCUGGGACUGCAUUGGAAACUAUUGGGCUAGAGUGUCGGAGGGGCAGGCGGAAUUCCUAGUGUAGCGGUGAAAUGCGUAGAUAUUAGGAGGAACACCAGUGGCGAAGGCGGCCUGCUGGACGAUGACUGACGUUGAGGCUCGAAAGCGUGGGGAGCAAACAGGAUUAGAUACCCUGGUAGU
rnacentral:rRNA from 1 species